CAAGGAUGUCACAGUGGAGUGGGACGGGGCGAAGUGUAUAAAACCCGUGGCGAGAGGUGUCCGGCCAGCAGUGGUGGAGUCCCUUGAGAUGGUGGGCGGAUUGCGAGCUGAAGGUUUGGUGAGCAGUGGACUGGAUUGGGAGCCCUCGAUGGCAUGGAGGUGUAGCAUGUGUGAUGGAAGGAGGAAAGGAAUGAAGUGGCAGAGUUGCCUGCAGGAAGUGGCCAGUUGGAGGGGGGAUCGAGAGCGUCGGGAGGGGAGGGGGGGGAGGAUCGUGGGCGGGGAGGGGGGGAUGGUACUAUGCGGCGUGGGGCCUGGUAGAGU
rnacentral:lncRNA from 1 species